GAUGAACGCUGGCGGCGUGCUUAAUACAUGCAAGUCGAACGGAAAGGCCCUGCUUUUGUGGGGCUCUCGAUUGGCGAACGGGUGAGUAACACGUGUGUAACCUGCCCUUGACUUUGGGAUAACUCUAGGAAACUGGGGCUAAUACCGGAUAGGAGCUCCUGCUCCAUGGUGGGGGUUGGAAAGUUUCGGCGGUUGGGGAUGGACUCGCGGCUUAUCGGCUUGUUAGUGGGGUAGUUGCUUACCAAGGGUGUGACGGGUAGCCUGCCUGAGAGGGUGACCGGCGACCAGAGGACUGAGGGAGGGACCAGUAGGGAACGGGACGCAACGGUGGGGAGUAUUGCAGAACAGGGGGGAGCGUGAUACGACGGCGCCGCGAUCGGAAAGACGGGCUUCGAGUGGAGAACAGCUGUCGCCUGAGACGAGGCGUGAGUGACGGUAAUGGGUAAGAAAGCAACGGCUAACUACGUG
rnacentral:rRNA from 1 species